rnacentral:lncRNA from 1 species
GGGCGGGGGAACUGUCACCCAAGGCCGAGAGGGCGUCUGGCGGUCUGUGAGGGCCGGUAUACCUCCCCGUUGCCCUCUCGCGCCAUUUUGGGGUGGUUUUCGCUCUGUCACCUCAUCUUCUCAUUGCUAGCGGGCUCAGACGGGCAUCGGGGUGGAGGUCGCGGCUCUUCACACGCCGAGUGCCGCCUGAGGAGUGCUCUGUGUGUUGGGACCCUCCCGAGGGCCCCCGCCCGCCAUUUUCUCUCCCUCAGGAUGCUCCUGUGUUGGCGAGCGCUGCGGUUCCCCUCAUCUUCCCCGCUGCGACUGCCUCACGCCAACACACCUAAGAGCUUGGGGCUGGGUAAUUUUCUAACUUAAAGGGAAAAUAACACAAAUUAAGCUGUUCCCGCUUAGGCGACCGUUCAGGGCAAAGCCCUCGCCGCUCUGCCCACCAGCCCCAGGGGAAGGAGCAGAGCUGGACUCGCUGCUGGAGAAGGUCCCCCGUAGCUUUAUUUGCUGCAGGACCCACUGAAAUCAUCCUCAGCUUUAACAACACCACAGGCUACUCGGAAUGCAAAAGAUCUAUGUAAAUAUACCCUCUGGUUGCAGCUGCUGUGGAAAAAGAAGAAAUUAUAAGGGAGCAGGUGAAGGAGGUGUCAUUUACAGAAGAAGAAAAAGGAAAAUCACUAAAGGGAAUCAUGCGAAGGCGAGCCUGGAAGAAUGUAAGGUGGUGAGAGCAGCCUGGGCUCACUGCCAGGGAACCAUGCGGCCUGGGCAGGGAAACAACCUGACAGGUGGAUGAGGACAACCAAUGGGCUGCACCAGAAAGCAAAGCUCGCCUUUUAAGGAAGAAAAGAGCGAGGGCUGGCAUGGGAGGAGUGAGGGAGUGGCUAUGUUAAAUUGAAGGGUCUUAAAAGGGCUCGUCCCUCCCAUCCAGGUGUGCUUGAACUGGGUCACAAGUUUGAUGCACCCAGUACGCUGUUAAAUAAAGUUCCUUGUUUCACUUUAUUUGACCGUCUC